rnacentral:rRNA from 1 species
AAUCAAUUUUAUACAUGCAAGCAUCAGCACUCCAGUGAAAAUGCCCAAAACACAAACAAUAAAGGAGCUGGUAUCAGGCACACAUUUUCAGCCCAUAACACCUUGCUAUGCCACACCUACACAGGUCCUCAGCAGUAAUUAACAUUAGGCUAUAAGCGAAAGCUUGACCUAGACAUGAUUAACCAGGGCCGGUUAAUUUCGUGCCAGCAACCGCGGUUAGACGAAAAGCCCACAAUAGUACACAACGGCGUAAAGAGUGACCAGAAGCUACCCACAGCCCUAAAAACAAAACACAACUUUAGUAGUAAAAUACCAAAAACCCAAGAAUACCCAAUUUUUAGCCCUGCAGGGCCUUUGACUCACAAAAACUGAGAAACAAACUGGGAUUAGAUACCC